rnacentral:tRNA from 7 species
GCCGAAGUGGUGGAAUUGGUAGACACGAUGGAUUCAAAAUCCAUUGCUCACAAGGCUUGCGGGUUCGAUUCCCGCCUUCGGUACUA